rnacentral:rRNA from 1 species
UACAGAGGGGGCAAGCGUUGUUCGGAAUUACUGGGCGUAAAGGGCGCGUAGGCGGCCUGCUAAGUCGAACGUGAAAUCCCCGGGCUCAACCCGGGAACUGCAUCCGAUACUGGAUGGCUUGAAUCCGGGAGAGGGAUGCGGAAUUCCAGGUGUAGCGGUGAAAUGCGUAGAUAUCUGGAGGAACACCGGUGGCGAAGGCGGCAUCCUGGACCGGCAUUGACGCUGAGGAGCGAAAGCCAGGGGAGCAAACGGG